GAUGAACGCUGGCGGCGUGCCUAAUACAUGCAAGUCGAGCGAACAGACGAGGAGCUUGCUCCUCUGACGUUAGCGGCGGACGGGUGAGUAACACGUGGAUAACCUACCUAUAAGACUGGGAUAACUUCGGGAAACCGGAGCUAAUACCGGAUAACAUGUUGAACCGCAUGGUUCAACAGUGAAAGACGGUCUUGCUGUCACUUAUAGAUGGAUCCGCGCCGCAUUAGCUAGUUGGUAAGGUAACGGCUUACCAAGGCAACGAUGCGUAGCCGACCUGAGAGGGGGAUCGGCCACACUGGAACUGAGACACGGUCCAGACUACUACGGGAGGCAGCAGUAGGGAAUCUUCCGCAAUGGGCGAAAGCCUGACGGAGCAACGCCGCGUGAGUGAAGAAGGUCUUCGGAUCGUAAAACUCUGUUAUUAGGGAAGAACAAAUGUGUAAGUAACUAUGCACGUCUUGACGGUACCUAAUCAGAAAGCCACGGCUAACUACGUG
rnacentral:rRNA from 1 species